AUUGAACGCUGGCGGCAUGCCUUACACAUGCAAGUCGAACGGCAGCACGGGAGCAAUCCUGGUGGCGAGUGGCGAACGGGUGAGUAAAGUAUCGGAACGUGCCCAGUCGUGGGGGAUAACGUAGCGAAAGUUACGCUAAUACCGCAUACGAUCUAUGGAUGAAAGCGGGGGAUCGCAAGACCUCGCGCGAUUGGAGCGGCCGAUAUCAGAUUAGGUAGUUGGUGGGGUAAAGGCUCACCAAGCCGACGAUCUGUAGCUGGGCUGAGAGGACGACCAGCCAAACUGGGACUGAGACACGGCCCGGACUCCUACGGGAGGCAGCAGUGGGGAAUGUUGGACAAUGGGCGCAAGCCUGAUCCAGCCAUGCCGCGUGCAGGAUGAAGGCCUUCGGGUUGUAAACUGCUUUUGUACGGAACGAAAAGGUUUGACUUAAUACGUUGGACUCAUGACGGUACCGUAAGAAUAAGCACCGGCUAACUACGUGCCAGCAGCCGCCGUAAUAC
rnacentral:rRNA from 1 species